rnacentral:rRNA from 1 species
AUUGAACGCUGGCGGCAGGCCUAACACAUGCAAGUCGAGCGGAUGAAGGGAGCUUGCUCCUGGAUUCAGCGGCGGACGGGUGAGUAAUGCCUAGGAAUCUGCCUGGUAGUGGGGGAUAACGUCCGGAAACGGGCGCUAAUACCGCAUACGUCCUGAGGGAGAAAGUGGGGGAUCUUCGGACCUCACGCUAUCAGAUGAGCCUAGGUCGGAUUAGCUAGUUGGUGGGGUAAAGGCCUACCAAGGCGACGAUCCGUAACUGGUCUGAGAGGAUGAUCAGUCACACUGGAACUGAGACACGGUCCAGACUCCUACGGGAGGCAGCAGUGGCGAAUAUUGGACAAUGGGCGAAAGCCUGAUCCAGCCAUGCCGCGUGUGUGAAGAAGGUCUUCGGAUUGUAAAGCACUUUAAGUUGGGAGGAAGGGCAGUAAGUUAAUACCUUGCUGUUUUGACGUUACCAACAGAAUAAGCACCGGCUAACUUCGU